AAAAAAAAGAAAGAAAAAAAGCUAAUGAAGUUUUGAAAAUAUGAGAUUUUGACUUGAUGGUUCAUGGGGAAUGGGGUGGCUACCUAUAUAAGUACUAACGGCAAUGUUUGUGGACACUAAAACUACCUAAGUAACAGCACAUGGAUCGUAGCAUCCCCAUCGGAGGGGGCCACUGGGGAAGAUCUCCAUGACAUCAGAAUCUUCCCGCUUUGGUUCUACGUUACCGUCGAUUUGUUGGAUUCCAGUCAAUAAGAGACCAAAGUGCUGGUCAAUCCUAGCUGACCCUUUUUUUUU
rnacentral:misc_RNA from 1 species